UCUUUCCUUGUCUUGGGGUGGCAUGGGACACUCAAUGAACGUGUAGUGAGAGUAUCCCUGCUAACGCCAUAAUCAACACAUUCGCAUCACCUGAGCUUCUUGCUCGGCGCUAUGGUGCAAUUUUUGGAACC